GACGAACGCUGGCGGCGUGCUUAACACAUGCAAGUCGAACGGAAAGGCCCUGCUUUUGUGGGGUGCUCGAGUGGCGAACGGGUGAGUAACACGUGAGUAACCUGCCCUUGACUUUGGGAUAACUUCAGGAAACUGGGGCUAAUACCGGAUAGGAGCUCCUGCUGCACGGUGGGGGUUGGAAAGUUUCGGCGGUUGGGGAUGGACUCGCGGCUUAUCAGCUUGUUGGUGGGGUAGUGGCUUACCAAGGCUUUGACGGGUAGCCGGCCUGAGAGGGUGACCGGCCACAUUGGGACUGAGAUACGGCCCAGACUCCUACGGGAGGCAGCAGUGGGGAAUAUUGCACAAUGGGCGGAAGCCUGAUGCAGCAACGCCGCGUGCGGGAUGACGGCCUACGGGUUGUAAACCGCUUUCGCCUGUGACGAAGCGUGAGUGACGGUAAUGGGUAAAGAAGCACCGGCUAACUACGUG
rnacentral:rRNA from 1 species